ensembl:lncRNA
CCCCCCCCAAAGAUUAUUAAAACUGAAAACCCACAGCGCAAUCAUUUGCCUGACCCAACACCGACAGACCGGUCGGUGGUGCUCAGAAAAGCUUCCAAAUUAAUAGCAUGUAGUUUCAACCUCAGCAGUCUUUUAAGAUGAUUGCUUGUUACCCUGUACGAGAUGACCCUGCUAAAAUCCCGGCCGAAUUCUAUACCAGAAAUGUGUCCCUCCAGGAUUUCACGAUUCUGCGAUCGCAGAAAUGAACGCAAAACCAAGCAGAUUUUCCUCAGAUUUGGGCCACGGCGCGUCACGUGACAUCAUCAUUGCACGCUGUCAGCCGAAGCCCUCUUCGAUCCACGUGCGUCGAACAUGCGUACAGCUAAAAGGUCUCAUUUACCGACAAACACCACUGCGAAAGACCGUGCGAAACAAUUUUGCGCGACUGCGAUUUCGCCGAUCCGAGUCGUUUUUACGAGAAAAGAAAGCACACAAAAAAAUUCUGCAAGUUGCAUUGCAAAUUUUUUAAAUAAGCCACAGCAAAAUCAUGUAAGUUUGGCUGAAAGCCUAUACAGGACUGAGAUACAAAAUUCAACAAUGAAGAGCCUCUAAUAAUGAAAAUAUAUGUUUCGUCAUUGCCAAUACCGUAUUCGUAGCUAUGGUGGCUUUUCACUUUUGAGCACUGUAGCAGUGGUCACACUCUGCCAUAACGUUAUCGUCGACUAGCUUUGGUUAGCCGUCAAACAGAACUCCAGUCAAACGUGACCAGGAUCCUAUCUAUUGAAUCGGGAGAGACGUAUACACAAAUCGACGAAUGAAAUCGCUGUUUUGAUUGCAGCUACUCUGCGUGAGUGUUUCUUCAAAACAAGCCGAGCCAAGGCUUGACAACGCCAAUCAUAUUUAAGGCUGUUUCUACGGUAAUGGUGAUGUCAUAUCAGCAAAUGGACUGAAUCACAAAAGGCUCUUCCACACGUGCACUAUGUAACAUAACAGCCAAAUGUGCAACAGGAAACAAAUGCAGUCGUCUAAGCUGAAACGAAAGACGUAUUACUAAUAGAGAUGUGCCUUCUUUUUUUUUUUCUUUUUUGAACCUAAUUUUAAUAUUCAACAACCUAAAAAAAUUAAAGAAUGGAUAUUUGGUUCACCAAACAAACCCUCAAAUGCCUUAUUAAUGCAUAAUGAAGUAUCCAUGUCCCACUUUCUUUCUGUCACUGGCAGUGCAUGUGUCUGUGCUGGAUGGACGUAAUAAUAAUAAUAAUAAUAAUAAUAAUAAUAAUAAUAAUAAUAUAUUGAAAUAAUGAACAGAAAUAAUAACCCCACACCAAAACGUCAAGCUGUAGCAGCUGAAAAGUGAAAAUCUCACUGGUUUCCAAGCCUUUCUCCGAACACGGUGACGCACAUUUAUAAUAAUCUGGUAGUCGUUACAGAUAUUUGCAUGUUAUGCAGGGCUUUCUAGAAAUAAGUGCUUCAUGCUGCGUCAAACGAAAAGAGACGUGCCAAAAAAAAAGCUGCCUGCGUUUAGUAUGGAGUUGUAUUGAACGUCGCUGGAAUUGUAUUAUCUCUUCAUGACGCAUCAACCGUUCUUUUGAAUAUGAUCUACUUCAUGGGGAAAUAUAUACAUACUGGUGCCUCAAAUGGAUAACUGGGCGUUAAGGUUGUUACGGUGUGUGUACGAUCGGACCGUUACCUCACCAUUGACUUUUUCAAAAUACCAAUUAAAACGCUUUUAUUACUAUUAUUUAUUUGUUUGUUUGUUUAUUUAUGUAUCCAUCCAUCCAUCCAUCUUCUAUACCGCUUUAUCCUUUUCAGGGUCACGGGGAAACCUGGAGCCUAUCCCAGGGAGCAUCGGGCACAAGGCGGGGUACACCCUGGACAGGGUGCCAGUCCAUCGCAGGGCACAAUCAUACACACUCACACACCCAUUCAUACACUACGGACACUUUGGACAUGCUUUAUUUAUUUAUUUAUUUGUCCAUUUAUUUAUUUAUUUAUUUACCUGAUCCAGUUCCUUCCUCGGGUGGUUUGCACCGCUUUUAUGUCUGGCUACGACUCCCUAAAAUUUCUCAACCCUCUCCCUCUGGACUCGCCUUAAAUCAAACUAGAGCGACCUCUGAAACACUCUUUGGUUGUAUAAUCCGCUGCUGUUGUAAACAUGUUACGCUGCUGUUCUUGCUGGCAUUUCAAGCACGUUCUUCUCUUUAUCAUACACCACGGCUAUCGAAUGCACACGAGAACACGGCGUGGCUGAAUUCAACUAAACGAAACAGCUAUCUAUUUUUGGCUAAGCAGCUCUUCACACUGCUGUGCUAGUUAGAUUUUUAUUUUUUUUUUCCUCUGUGCACUACCUUUCCUUACAGCCUCUCUCUCACACUCUCUCAAUCUCUUUUAGCUUUGUAAUGACGACGUGAUAAAUACUGACAAUCUGAUGGGGGGAAAAAAUCCCUCUCAAAAAUACCGUUCUAGACGAUAAAAGAAAGACGACCAAUUAAAGGAUCUUUUUUUUUCCUCCCUCCCUUUUUGUAAUACGUUUUUCCUUUCAUUUGUACCACAAGAUUGUGUGUUUCCGUAUAUUUCCUUCAUGCAGUGAAAAACCGUCAUACUUUUAGCCUACGCUUUCAUACCGCGAGAUUUUCGAUAUAUCAUAACACCCGUUAAGUGGGCUUUUUGAACACCUGUACGCAUUAGUUAUUAGUAAUCUGGCCUUUAAACGGAGGACAUUUUAUUAAGCAGGGACCUUAUGUGUCUG